GGUAAGUCCGGGGCAGUAGCCGGGGUAAGAGGGGGGGGGGAAGGGUUAAUCGGAAUCACUGGGCGUAAAGAGCAUGUGGGCGGAUGAAGAAGGUUGAAGUGAAAUCCUAUAGCUUAACUAUAGAACUGCGUGGAAAACGGUGAAUCUAGAAUGGGGGAGAGGUAGAUGGAAUUUCUGGUGUAGGGGUAAAAUCCGUAGAGAUCAGAAGGAAGACCGAGUGCGAAGGCGAUCUACUGGAACAUGAUUGACGCUGAGAUGCGAAAGCGUGGGGAGCAAACAGGAUUAGAUACCCUAGUAGUC
rnacentral:rRNA from 1 species